AAAUAUACUAUCCAAUGGCAUAAUCCACCAACCUGUGUUUUUGGAUACAGCACCAUUCCUUGAGCAUUUACAAUGUGUGUAUAAAAUCAGAUAAUUAGUUUAUUCCAACUUUAUGCACACACUUUCAGUAUAUACACACAAUUUUGACUUUUUGCCAUUCUUUAGUGGUGGUUUGGAUAUGUAACAGAUGUAAUGGAUAUAACUUCUAUUAUGAUUUUAAUUUUUUAACCAUUUACCCAAGCACCUUUUUCAGAAAUAGUAAUGUCAUAUUUUGAUCUGUAGGGGGAGCAGUGAAGCUAUAAUCUGAGUAUGGGCCCUGAGGAGCUGCCUGAUUUUAUGGACACGAUGUCGAGCACUCCUCCUCUCUCUCCUCGUCCUGUUGGUUCCUCAUUCUCACCUCCUUACUGCUCUCCACCGGUUGUGACCUUACGGCCCCCUGCCACUCGUCACCUGACUCAGCUCGACCCCUGGAGGAGACACAGCUGGGAACCUGGAGCUGUGGCACAGGGAUAUCCACCCAAUGACACACGCAGUGUGAGUCUUGAAGAUCUGGAUCUGGAUGAGAUUUCCUUAGUGAUAAACGGUGCAUUGAGGUCAAAAAGAGCUCGAGAAGCCCGCAGGUCUGUCACUCAAGCUUCCCUGACGUCACUUACCGAAGAGGAAGUUGGAGCAGAGCAUCAGGAACAUCAUCAAUCAGCGCUGGAGGAGCAGUCCAAUCAGAUGCAUGGCUGCAGUGCCUCCGCCCCCAGCCUGUAUAUGAUGCAGCAGAUGCCUAGAAGCUCCGCCCCUCGCCCCCGCUCCUACUGCCAUGGUCAGUUGAGUGUGUUUGGGGUUUCCAGCUUGUUCAAAAAUUAA
rnacentral:lncRNA from 12 species